rnacentral:rRNA from 1 species
UACGGAGGGUGCAAGCGUUAAUCGGAAUUACUGGGCGUAAAGGGUGCGUAGGUUGUUAGUUAAGUUAUCUGUGAAAUACCUGGGCUCAACCCAGGAAGGUCAGAUAAGACUGAUUGACUAGAGUAUGGGAGAGGGCAGUGGAAUUUCCGGUGUAGCGGUGAAAUGCGUAGAGAUCGGAAGGAACACCAGUGGCGAAGGCGGCUGCCUGGCCUAAUACUGACACUGAGGCACGAAAGCGUGGGGAGCAAACAGG